GACGAACGCUGGCGGCGUGCUUAACACAUGCAAGUCGAACGGAAAGGCCCUGCAUUUGUGGGGUGCUCGAGUGGCGAACGGGUGAGUAACACGUGAGUAACCUGCCCUUGACUUUGGGAUAACUUCAGGAAACUGGGGCUAAUACCGGAUAGGAGCUCCUGCUGCAUGGUGGGGGUUGGACAUUUUCGGCGGUUGGGGAUGGACUCGCGGCUUAUCAGCUUGUUGGUGGGGUAGUGGCUUACCAAGGCUUUGACGGGUAGCCGGCCUGAGAGGGUGACCGGCCACAUUGGGACUGAGAUACGGCCCAGACUCCUACGGGAGGCAGCAGUGGGGAAUAUUGCACAAUGGGCGGAAGCGUGAUGCAGCAACGCGGCGUGCGGGAUGACGGCCUUCGGGUUGUAAACCGCUUUCGCCUGUGACGAAGCGUGAGUGACGGUAAUGGGUAAAGAAGCACCGGCUAACUACGUG
rnacentral:rRNA from 1 species